CCAGGCGUCGAGCGGCGGACGGGUGAGUAAUACUUAGGAAUCUACCUAGUAGUGGGGGAUAGCACGGGGAAACUCGUAUUAAUACCGCAUACGACCUACGGGAGAAAGGGGGCAGUUUACUGCUCUCGCUAUUAGAUGAGCCUAAGUCGGAUUAGCUAGAUGGUGGGGUAAAGGCCUACCAUGGCGACGAUCUGUAGCUGGUCUGAGAGGAUGAUCAGCCACACCGGGACUGAGACACGGCCCGGACUCCUACGGGAGGCAGCAGUGGGGAAUAUUGGACAAUGGGGGAAACCCUGAUCCAGCCAUGCCGCGUGUGUGAAGAAGGCCUUUUGGUUGUAAAGCACUUUAAGCAGUGAAGAAGACUCUUCGGUUAAUACCCGGAGACGAUGACAUUAGCUGCAGAAUAAGCACCGGCUAACUCUGUGCCAGCAGCCGCGGUAAUACAGAGGGUGCAAGCGUUAAUCGGAAUUACUGGGCGUAAAGCGAGCGUAGGUGGCUUGAUAAGUCAGAUGUGAAAUCCCCGGGCUUAACCUGGGAACUGCAUCUGAAACUGUUAGGCUAGAGUAGGUGAGAGGGAAGUAGAAUUUCAGGUGUAGCGGUGAAAUGCGUAGAGAUCUGAAGGAAUACCGAUGGCGAAGGCAGCUUCCUGGCAUCAUACUGACACUGAGGCUCGAAAGCGUGGGUAGCAAACAGGAUUAGAUACCCUGGUAGUCCACGCCGUAAACGAUGUCUACUAGUCGUUGGGUCCCUU
rnacentral:rRNA from 1 species